rnacentral:rRNA from 1 species
ACUCAAAGGAAUUGACGGGGGCCCGCACAAGCGGUGGAGCAUGUGGUUUAAUUCGACGCAACGCGAAGAACCUUACCUGGGCUUGAACCACCAGAAGUAGAACUGAUGAAAAUCGGGACGACCUGUAAAGUCAGGAACUGGCAGAGGUGCUGCAUGGCUGUCGUCAGCUCGUGUCGUGAGAUGUUGGGUUAAGUCCCGCAACGAGCGCAACCCUUAUCCUAUGUUGCCAUGUCCAAAUCGGACGGAACUCUUAGGAAACUGCCUCGGAUAACGGGGAGGAAGGUGGGGAUGACGUCAAGUCACCAUGGCCUUUAUGUCCAGGGCUACACACGUGCUACAAUGGCCGGUACAGCGAGCAGCGAAUCCGCAAGGAGGAGCAAAUCUCUAAAAGCCGGCCCCAGUUCAGAUAGUGGGCUGAAAUUCGCCCACUUGAAGGUGGAAUCGCUAGUAAUCGGGGAUCAGCUGGCCCCGGUGAAUACGUUCCCGGGCCUUGUACACACCGCCCGU